GUUUGCUGGUGAGGGAGAAUCAUGGAGGAGGAACCUUGAAGAAGAGGGAAGGAUCCUGAGGAGAGAGAAUCCCUGCUCUGAGAUAUUCCAGAGCUGCCCUGUAAUCCCUGAAUCUUACUGAAUCCACACCCUGGUGAUACAUCAAUGUCAAAGGGAUGCAACUGGUAAUUCUGCCUGGCUGUUAAGCUGCCUCGUCUCACCCUGUUUCCAAUGGCUGCUGUCAAGAUGCAUUAUGAGACCAGUGCUGAUAUCCCGACUGUGUCAGUUUCCUUGAUUUUAAGGAAAUUUUCUGGGCCCCUCUGUCUGCUCGUUCCUGGUUGUGCUGAUGGCCCUGAUGUGAACAGAGCCACCACUGAGCAGGUACUGGAAGGCCACAGUUAGAUCACCCCUCAGCCUUCUCUUCUCCAGGCUGAACAACCCCAAAUCAAUGAGCCUUUCUUCGAGACAAGCUGCUCCAUCCCUCUGAUCAACUUGGAGGUCUCCUCCAACAGCUCCAUGUCCUUCCUGUGCUGGACCCCAGAUCUGGACACAGCCCUGCAGGUGGGGUCACACCAGAGAGGGGCAGAGGGGCAGAAUCCCUUCUCUUGACCUGCACUCCAUUGGAGGCUGCUCCAGACCUGAAGGCUCCCGGGUGCUUGUCUGGGCUCACGCUGCUGCUCCACUCGUUUUCCUUAUGGGAAGAGUAACAUUUUGUGGCUAAGACAGAGCUCCCUAAGAGCACCAACAGCCAAAUUACUCUCUUUUCUGACUGGUCCUUCAAAGGAAAAUCACUCAGAUCUGACUCCCAGGGGGCUGAAAUCAAUGUGGAUGUUAAGCAACAUGGCUUGGCUAUCUGGGUAAAAUGGCCUCGUUUUGAUUAGGUAGGGAAUUGGAGGAUAAAGGGAUUUCUUUUUCUCAGAAUUGGGCAUAGAAUAGCAACAUAAAAACCUGGAUCAAAUAGCUGAAGCCAAUAUCUUCCCCUUGAGGCUUUCUUUUGGUUCCUUUGUAGCGCAUCAACUUAAAAGAGACUUAAACUCCAGUCGCUGAAGGUUGCCGAGUGGGAGGGCAAAAAAUAUAAAGGGUGUUUGGAGUUCACGGAUGCAGCCUCUUAGGAAAUUGUGGUAACAACCUGUCAUCCUUGGAGUCAUGGCUGAUAACUCUUACAUGCCUCUUGGUCUUUAUCAAAAUUAUCUGCUGGCACAUCUGCAAUUUAACGAUGCCGUGUGACACUUGGUACAAUACAGUCACUCCAACGCGUUCCCACUCUCCCGGUACUCAGGAAGGCAGCAUGGCCAGGAGGGGAAAUAAAAAGCUUUUUUUGCUACAGUUUGCCCCGGAUGGAUGUGUUAAUCCUCUCCAGCCUGCUGAGCAGCUCAGGCUGUCAGCUACCUUUGGGCGUUGCUGACCGAGAAGCUGAUGCGGACACUUCCACCCACCUGCAGAUAUCCUGU